CUUCCAGGUGCCUGGUUAACACAGCCAGAAGUCCUGGCAGCUCUACACAUCAAAUGCAUUUGUAAUUUACUAACUUACGAUUGCUUAGUGUUUUGCCCGGCAAGGGAGGACGGCGUGGAUUUUGCUGCUGGUCCUCUGCCCCUCAGAAGAAGGCUCUACUUGGCGGAGGCAGCAGCUCAGGCCAAUGUUUAUCUAAUAGGAGGAAGUCUAGCCUUUGUGAGGAGGUUCAGUUGGCAGAUCUCAGCUGGACGUCAUGCUGCAGAGAGGUCUCAGAUGGCUGGUGGGGCCUGUCAGCGCCCCUUCUCCAAGCUCUGGCUGGCCAGCACCUGCUACCCAGAUCAGCCUGGAUGCCGGUCCAGCUCAUCACUGUCUCAAGCAACAGCUACCUCCAGUCUGACAGAAAAGAUUAUUCCCUCCCCAAUGCCAGCUGGAGCCUGUCAUGGUAAGGCUAUAUAAUGAGUUCAUGGAGAAGACUGUGGAUGGGUCAUGGACAAGACUUCCAGGUUGCUGGCACUCUGUGCAAUUCCUUAAAGAAGCAGACCUUGCUAAGAUUGCGAAAGCUGUCCCUGCCAUCUUCUUACAAAUGAAGUGACACAGAUGUAAGGCACUGCAAGACUCACCUCCCCCUGCUCUGACAGGCAGACAGGAAGCCAAAGCCACUAUCUGAGCAGCCCCUGUCUCUGCCAUUCAC